ACUGAUAUUCCUACAAGAUUGAACUCAACAUUCUUGAUGUUGGAAGCAAUCCAAGAAUAUAAGGCAGCUUUUGAAUUAUUGGGUGAUGAAAACAUUCAAUAUUUCAAAUAUUUUGAUGAGCACAAGGGAUUAGGAAAGCCUAUUGAUGAUAAUUGAGAAAUUGUUGCUACUUUUGUAGAAUUUUUUAGACUCUUCUAUGAGGUGAUAUUGAAAACAUAU